CCUACGGCGAGCAGCAGUGGGGAAUAUUGGACAAUGGGCGAAAGCCUGAUCCAGCCAUGCCGCGUGUGUGAAGAAGGCCUUCGGGUUGUAAAGCACUUUCAGUGGGGAAGAAAGCCUUGGGGCUAAUACCCUCGAGGAAGGACAUCACCCACAGAAGAAGCACCGGCUAACUCCGUGCCAGCAGCCGCGGUAAUACGGAGGGUGCGAGCGUUAAUCGGAAUUACUGGGCGUAAAGCUCGCGUAGGCGGUCUGAUAAGCCGGUUGUGAAAGCCCCGGGCUCAACCUGGGAACGGCAUCCGGAACUGUCAGGCUAGAGUGCAGGAGAGGAAGGUAGAAUUCCCGGUGUAGCGGUGAAAUGCGUAGAGAUCGGGAGGAAUACCAGUGGCGAAGGCGGCCUUCUGGACUGACACUGACGCUGAGGUGCGAAAGCGUGGGUAGCAAACAGGAUUAGAUACCCCAGUAGUC
rnacentral:rRNA from 1 species